GAUGAACGCUAGCGGCAGGCUUAACACAUGCAAGUCGAGGGGUAUAGUUCUUCGGAACUAGAGACCGGCGCACGGGUGCGUAACGCGUAUGCAAUCUACCUUUUGCAGAGGGAUAGCCCCAGAGAAAUUUGGAUUAAUACCUCAUAGUAUAGCAGUUUCGCAUGAAACCACUAUUAAAGUCACAACAGCAAAAGAUGAGCAUGCGUCCCAUUAGCUAGUUGGUAAGGUAACGGCUUACCAAGGCUACGAUGGGUAGGGGUCCUGAGAGGGAGAUCCCCCACACUGGUACUGAGACACGGACCAGACUCCUACGGGAGGCAGCAGUGAGGAAUAUUGGACAAUGGGCGCAAGCCUGAUCCAGCCAUGCCGCGUGCAGGAUGACGGUCCUAUGGAUUGUAAACUGCUUUGUACAGGAAGAAACACUCCCUCGUGAGGGAGCUUGACGGUACUGUAAGAAUAAGGAUCGGCUAACUCCGUGCCAGCACG
rnacentral:rRNA from 1 species